CGCUGGGCUUCCCUCCCCCUUCCAAACCGCCGGGAUGGAGGAGCGGGCGGCUGCGGAGUCUCCGGCUAGGUCGGGCCGCCUGCAGCCGAGCCAGAAGCCGCCCCAAAGGUCGCGCGAAGCGUGCCACGCGGGCGGGGAAUGAGACCUAAAGACCCUUCGGCGGCUGCGGGCGGGCGGCCCGUCUCCUCCGGGGGCCCAGCCCCUCCGUGGCGCCGCGGCUGCUCUGGGACAGCCCCCCCGCCGCCCCCGCCCUGUAAUUGCAAGGACUGGCGCUCCCCUGCUGGCCCCAGACGGGGAGGAGGGCUAGGAAAGAGGCGGCUCAGGACGGCAGCGGCUCCGGACCUUUUCUGCCCCGCUGGCGCCUCUCUCUGUCCCUCCAGGAUGGGCUCCAGGCUCGCCGGCUGCUUUCCACGCGCCAGACGCGGACGGUGGCGGCGGGCCGGCAAGGCGGAGCAGGGAGAGCCCGCGGAAGCAGCCUCUCCAGAGGGCCCCGACGUCGCGGCAGGCCGAGCACGGUCCACCCCGUCCACCAGCAGCGAGGGCGACCCGCAGAGCGGCCGGGCGUACUUCAGCGGCAAAGCGCGAGUCUCCUUCCGCCACCAGCUCGACUCCGAGAGGGACUCCACCAGCUGAUCCUCCCGAGAGGCAGCAGGCAGGGCCGCACGGGGGAGGCUUCCCAGGAAUAAACGACCCCCCCCCCC